UACAGAGGGGGCAAGCGUUGUUCGGAAUUACUGGGCGUAAAGGGCGCGUAGGCGGCCUGUUAAGUCGGACGUGAAAUCCCCGGGCUCAACCCGGGAACUGCGUCCGAUACUGGCAGGCUUGAAUUCGGGAGAGGGAUGUGGAAUUCCUGGUGUAGCGGUGAAAUGCGCAGAUAUCAGGAAGAACACCAGUGGCUAAGGCGGCUCUCUAGUACGGUACUGACGCUGAGACGCGAAAGCGUGGGGAGCGAACAGG
rnacentral:rRNA from 1 species